CAUAUGCUUGUCUCAAAGAUUAAGCCAUGCAUGUCUAAGUAUAAGCAAUUAUACAGCGAAACUGCGAAUGGCUCAUUAUAUAAGUUAUCGUUUAUUUGAUAGUACCUUACUACUUGGAUAACCGUGGUAAUUCUAGAGCUAAUACAUGCUAAAAAUCCCGACUUCGGAAGGGAUGUAUUUAUUAGAUUAAAAACCAAUGCCCUCUGGGCUCUCUGGUGAUUCAUGAUAACUUCUCGAAUCGCAUGGCCUUGCGCCGGCGAUGGUUCAUUCAAAUUUCUUCCCUAUCAACUUUCGAUGUUUGGGUAGUGGCCAAACAUGGUUGCAACGGGUAACGGAGGGUUAGGGCUCGACCCCGGAGAAGGAGCCUGAGAAACGGCUACUACAUCCAAGGAAGGCAGCAGGCGCGCAAAUUACCCAAUCCCGAUUCGGGGAGGUAGUGACAAUAAAUACUGAUACAGGGCUCUUUUGGGUCUUGUAAUUGGAAUGAGUACAAUUUAAAUCCCUUAACGAGGAACAAUUGGAGGGCAAGUCUGGUGCCAGCAGCCGCGGUAAUUCCAGCUCCAAUAGCGUAUAUUAAAGUUGUUGUGGUUAAAAAGCUCGUAGUUGAACCUUGGGCCUGGUUGGCCGGUCCGCCUCACCGCGUGUACUGGUCCGGCCGGGCCUUUCCCUCUGUGGAACCCCAUGCCCUUCACUGGGUGUGGCGGGGAAACAGGACUUUUACUUUGAAAAAAUUAGAGUGCUCCAGGCAGGCCUAUGCUCGAAUACAUUAGCAUGGAAUAAUAAAAUAGGACGUGCGGUUCUAUUUUGUUGGUUUCUAGGACCGCCGUAAUGAUUAAUAGGGACAGUCGGGGGCAUCAGUAUUCAAUUGUCAGAGGUGAAAUUCUUGGAUUUAUUGAAGACUAACUACUGCGAAAGCAUUUGCCAAGGAUGUUUUCAUUAAUCAGGAACGAAAGUUAGGGGAUCGAAGACGAUCAGAUACCGUCGUAGUCUUAACCAUAAACUAUGCCGACUAGGGAUCGGACGAUGUUAUUUUUUGACUCG
rnacentral:rRNA from 1 species